UACAGAGGUGGCAAGCGUUGUUCGGAAUUACUGGGCGUAAAGGGCGCGUAGGCGGUCCGAUAAGUCCUGUGUGAAAUCCCUCGGCUCAACUGAGGAACUGCACGGGAGACUGUCGGGCUUGAGUUCGGGAGAGGGAAGCGGAAUUCCGGGUGUAGUGGUGAAAUGCGUAGAGAUCCGGAGGAACACCAGUGGCGAAGGCGACACGCUGGGCCGUACCUGACACUGAUGCGCGACAGCAUGGGGAGCAAACAGG
rnacentral:rRNA from 1 species